ensembl:lncRNA
AUAGCAACAUAAUUAAAUACAUAAAAAAAAACCAAACAAUGUUUUAUGAGGAAGAAAAGAGAUACCCAGUCUUGGGCUACCUCUCCUAAGUUCCAAGAUACUGAAGCUGCAAAGGGAAGAAGAAUUACUUCUCACGGAGAGACCGUGAGGAUGCCACCUUAGCCCAUGAGUUUACUUCCCACAGUAGCAUUGAUCUUCCCAGACUGACAGUUGCUGAAAUCCAGGUUAUGGGUAACCUCACCAAACUCAAACCAAGGAGUGAGGAGAGGGAGAAUCUAGACAGCCCUGACAAUGGCCACCGGACUACAGCUAUCAGCUUUGAAAUAAAAACAAAACAAAACGAUUCUAGGCAGACAGAUGAGAUGCCUUGAUGUGUCUGAGAAGUUGCUAAGAGGCAGCUGUCUAUGAAGACAGAAGUCAGACCUCCUGUCACAUUGAACUGGAAUGAAAAGCUGUGGUUCCACCUCUGUUACGUCCUGAAAUGGAGCUCAUCUUCAAAUUCAUGCCUCAGAAUGCACACAAGCCAUUAGGCAAAGAAACACGCCCCGACAGGCUGUCAUGGCCUCUGCACAUGGGAAGUUGCCUGUGCCCUGAAGGUUAUCAGUCAUGAUGUCACUUCCUCAGCUGGUUUGCCUGCAUGAAUGCAGUUACCCAGAGCUGCCUCAGUCUUUAGUGUAGUUGAUAUUACAAGCUUACCCCAUCAGGCUUAGCCGAACAGUCUUUCUUUUCUUUUCCCUUUCUCUCUCUGUCUCUCUGUCUCUGUCUCUGUCUCUCUGUCUCUCUGUCUCUCUCUCUGUCUCUCUCUCUGUCUCUGUCUCUGUCUCUCUCUCUCUCUCUCUCUCUCUCUCUCUCUCUCUCUCUCUCUCUCCUUUUUCUUUUCUUUUUUCUUUUUGAGUAAGGGAGACUCUACUUUCACUGAAAACUAGGCUAUUUCAAAAAUUUAAUUUCCCAGGGACUUGAAACUUCUAAACUUUUGUGGUAUAAAUGGAGGAUCUCAAAUUCUUGGACCACUGUGUUUUAAACAAUUUUAAUAAAAAGUGGAAUACACACACAUACACACUUCUUGUGGCUAAGACACAAGUCAAAACACAAAAUUCGUUUAUAUUUCAUGGACCUCAUGCAUCUAGUCUGAAGUUAAUGCUUUCUAGUAUUUUUAGCGAGCUUAUGUUUUCACUAUGACCCUUCAGUGUGUGGAAGUUUCCUCUGCUGGCACUGUCUUGGUGCUUAGGACAUUUUGGAUUUGGGAAUGUGUUGGGUUUUUGAACUCAGACGCUUUCCUGGUGGCUAUGUAAAAUGCACAGGGAGAAGGAUAUACUUGGGGCUGGACCAAUAGCUACUGAGUUCUUAAGUAUUUUAUCAGCCUUCAUGAAACAGACAUUUCUCGCUCAUAUCAACACAGAUCAGAAUUUAACUGAAAUGCUUUUGCUUCAUUUCCAGCAGCUACAGUAAAUUAAGGCUGGCCACACUUGAAUGUCUAUAAGACUAUUGUAUGUUUUACUGAUUUUAUCAUCUACGGAAAUGUUAUCAAUUGACCCAUAAAGAAGGGUAUACCUUGUUUUUCCUAAUAAAAUCGAAUAUAUCACUUUGAAGAAGG